GACGAACGCUGGCGGCGUGCUUAACACAUGCAAGUCGAGCGAGGCCCCUCCUUCGGGAGGGUGUCCUAGCGGCGAACGGGUGAGUAACACGUGGGCAACCUGCCCUCAGCUCUGGGAUAACUCCGGGAAACCGGGGCUAAUACCGGAUACGACCUCCACGGUCAUCUGCGGAGGUGGAAAGUUUUUCGGCUGGGGAUGGGCCCGCGGCCUAUCAGCUAGUUGGUGGGGUAGUGGCCCACCAAGGCGACGACGGGUAGCCGGCCUGAGAGGGCGACCGGCCACACUGGGACUGAGACACGGCCCAGACUCCUACGGGAGGCAGCAGUGGGGAAUAUUGCGCAAUGGGCGAAAGCCUGACGCAGCGACGCCGCGUGAGGGACGAAGGCUUUCGGGUUGUAAACCUCUUUCAGCAGGGACGAAGCGAAAGUGACGGUACCUGCAGAAGAAGCACCGGCCAACUACGUG
rnacentral:rRNA from 1 species